UGCCUUUUCCGCCAUUGGCGGGAUGAAAUAAGGGCUGAGAAUAUACCCUUUGAAACCAGCCAGGUUUCAGGAACCUGAUCCGGGUAAUGCCGGCGUAGGAAAGGAAAUGUACCAGCUUU
rnacentral:ncRNA from 14 species